CUUCCAAGGGGAACUCAUCUGAUUAUGUUUGUUGGCUGGCAAGCGGAUUUCCGUGAUUGGAAAAGAAGAGAAUGGGAAAACACUAUUUGGUGCAAACUGUGUUUUUUUAAAGUAAAAACGAAACCCUCACUGUUUCGCUUCGUUGCGUUUUGCAAUUUCAGUGCGGAAUGGCGCGCGAACAACACACGCCGACACGUCCAUGGAUCCAGGAUGCAGUGCCUUUGUUAGUGGUUCUUCUAAUAGCAGCUCAUGUCCUCGCCAUGAUAUAUUGGAUUUAUAGACUAGCCAUCCAGAAACAGGUGCAGCAUAGGACGAAGGCUCAUUGAAUAAGAAGAAGGUUCGUGAUUGGCGAACCCUAAUUUACUUCCUACGAAAUACAAUGUCCUCAAUCUUGGUUUUAUAGGCGCUGUUCGAUAAUCAUUGACAUUUUGAAUUAGUGGAAAUGGACUAAAUUCAUACCGCAGCAUCUUAGUGUUAAUUUACACUUGUUUAUAUUGUUGCCAUUUUAAUUUAUGGUGCCUUUUAGUUGUAGAGCAUGCUUUUUAGCACAUUUAUUCUAAAAUUUUCCUCGCACGCUUCCUGUGUGAUGUAUUAUACCUCUGCCUUCUGAUUUCUCAUAAACAACUAAAUUAAUAAAAACUAGUAUUUAAGUUUAGUCUUGAA